GGCUCGCGCCCGCUUCUCCCGCUUUACGGCUGCUGAAAACCCGGCCCGGCAGCCGUACCGCAGACGAGCCCGCGCCCGCGCCCGCGCCCGCGCCGCUCAGGAGGCCGAGGGAAGAAAAGGAUAAUUUAAAUGAAAUUUAGUUUCUAUAAAGAAAACGAUUAAAAACAAGUUGCUGCUGAUACUGAAUCCAGAGGUGAACAGAUUUCCCCUCCCUAAUAAUACAACCACAGCAACAGCAGCUGUGACUGAGGAGAAACCACAACUAACAUCUCUUCAAGAGGGGACCCCCUGAUUCAACAGGCAUUAUUCAUUAUCUGAAGCCUGGGAAGGAGACUGAUAGACUAAGAACCUUGGCUGAUCCUCUGGAGACAGACUGCUCAUUAAUCUUGAGAUGGACAAAGCUCCAUAAGCCUUCCAAUGCUCUUCUGGCAAUACGGCCUUGAAUUAUAUUCUUUUCUAACCUGGCCUUCCAUAUGUAUUUUCUAGGUCCCUAAAGAGGAGAAGGGCAAAUAGGGAAUUGUGUUUGGAUUGGCUGGACAAAUAGAAAAGAACGGUGCAUGUUAGAUAAGAUCACAGUAGACUACAAAAAUAUUUCUGAAUUUAUCAUUCUACAGUAAUGUGUUAGUAUGAGCAUUCAAUAUAACCAUCUGGUAUGGCAUAAUGAGUUCAGAGGGCAUCCCUAUUGACUCGGGUAAAGGAAAACUUGUCAUCUGAAGUUGGUAACACACCUGAUGGAUGGAGCAUGAAAUGAAAACUUCCCAUCAUCUUUCUUAGAAGGGAACCUGAUGCUUGCUUGGAUUAGUUAAAUGGACCAAAACAGAAAUACAAAGUUCACCUUGCACACUUAAAGGCCACUGCAGAAAUUUUUGAUACUAUCUAAAGAC